CCGAGCGCGACCGCCUGAUCGGCGGAGCGCGCCUGGACCGCGCUUCGGCCAAGGAUUACCGGCAGACCCUCGGCUCGGGUAUGAGCGCCCGGCCCA
rnacentral:tRNA from 1 species